rnacentral:rRNA from 1 species
CCUACGGGAGGCUGCAGUGGGGAAUAUUGCACAAUGGGCGCAAGCCUGAUGCAGCCAUGCCGCGUGUGUGAAGAAGGCCUUCGGGUUGUAAAGCACUUUCAGCGGGGAGGAAGGCGUUAAGGUUAAUAACCUUGUCGAUUGACGUUACCCGCAGAAGAAGCACCGACUAACUCCGUGCCAGCAGCCGCGGUAAUACGGAGGGUGCAAGCGUUAAUCGGAAUUACUGGGCGUAAAGCGCACGCAGGCGGUCUGUCAAGUCGGAUGUGAAAUCCCCGGGCUCAACCUGGGAACUGCAUUCGAAACUGGGCAGCUAGAGUCUUGUAGAGGGGGGUAGAAAUUCCGGUGUAGGGGUGAAAGUGGUUGAGAUCUGGAGGGAUACCGGUGGCGGAGGCGGGCCCCUGGACAAAGACUGACGCUCAGGUGCGAAAGCGUGGGGAGCAAACAGGAUUAGAUACCCCUGUAGUC